AUUGAACGCUGGCGGCAGGCCUAACACAUGCAAGUCGAGCGGAUGAAGGGAGCUUGCUUCUGGAUUCAGCGGCGGACGGGUGAGUAAUUCCUAGGAAUCUGCCUGGUAGUGGGGGAUAACGUCCGGAAACGGGACCUAAUACCGCAUACGUCCUGAGCGAGAAAGAGGGGGAUCUUCGGACCUAACGCUAUCAGAUGCGCCUAGGUCGGAUUAGCCAGUUGGUUGGCUAAAGGCCUACCAAGGCGACGACCCGUACCGUGUCUGAAAGGCGGACGAGUCACACUGGAACUGGGACACGCUCCAGACUCCUACGGGAGGCAGCAGAGGGGAAUAUUGGACAAUGGGCGAAGUCCUGAUCCAGCCAUGCCGCGUGUGUGAAGAAGGUCUUCGGAUGGUAAAGCAUUUUAAGUUGGGAGGAAGGGCAGUAAGUUAAUACCUUGCUGUUUUGACGUUACCAACAGAAUAAGCACCGGCUAACUUCGUG
rnacentral:rRNA from 1 species